rnacentral:rRNA from 1 species
GUGCCAGCCGCCGCGGUAAUACCGGCAGCUCAAGUGAUGUCCCAUAUUAUUGGGCCUAAAGCGUCCGUAGCUGGCCGACCAAGUCUCCCGGGAAAUCCACCCGCCCAACGGGUGGGCGUCCGGUAGAAACUGGCCGGCUUGGAACCGGAAGGCUCGAGGGGUACGUCCGGGGUAGGAGUGAAAUCCUGUAAUCCCGCACGGACCACCGAUGGCGAAAGCACUUCGAGAAAACGGAUCCGACAGUGAGGGACGAAAGCCAGGGUCUCCAACCGGAUUAGAUACCCCGGUAGUCC